rnacentral:rRNA from 1 species
UACAGAGGGGCAAGCGUUGUUCGGAAUUACUGGCGUAAAGGGCGCGUAGGCGGCCUGCUAAGUCGAACGUGAAAUCCCUGGGCUCAACCCAGGAACUGCGUCCGAUACUGGCAGGCUUGAAUCCGGGAGAGGGAUGCGGAAUCCAGGUGUAGCGGUGGAAAUGCGUAGAUAUCUGGAGGAACACCGGUGGCGAAGGCGGCAUCCUGGACCGGCAUUGACGCUGAGGCGCGAAAGCG